rnacentral:lncRNA from 1 species
AACAGAUUAUAGGAACAACCACAGAAGAAAGGGGCUGACAAGGCACAGACAGGACAGGAAGCAGGGUCAGGCAUAACUGUCAAGAUUCCUCCCUGAAGGUGAAUUCAACUUCCUCCCCCUAAGCUCCACUUCCCAAAGAGUCUACAGUCUCAGAAAAACAGCACUGCCAGCUAGGGACUAAAUGUAAAUACUUGAACAUACAAGAGGCAAUGGGGACAUUUCAUAUUCACUGAGACGUUCCACCACUGGUCCGCGUAGGUUCACGGCCAUCUCGUAAUGUAAAAAUGCAUUCAGUUCAACUUCAAAAGUCCCCAGACUCCUUCAAAUCAGUACUUGAAAACCCCAAUAUCUCCCCAUCCCUGCAGAAUAAACAAGUAACCAUUCCCAUUCCAAAGCAGGGGCGUGGAGCUAUAACAAGGAAAGACUGGGCCGAAGCAAGCUCCAAACCCGCAGAGGGAAGGAAACCCAAGUCCAUGCCUGCGCCCGGCCCUGCCGUGGCCUGGCUUCACGCUCGGCCCCAUUCUUGAUCUGUUGCUGGCAGCUCACACGGCCUUUCCCAGUCCAGUUCCACCCAACGCCUGGGCCUUUUCUUUCCUCAGUAGACAUGCAACAUUCUGACAUCUGCUGGAUCCUGGGGUCUCCACUGUAACUUAAACUUCACCUUUACAGUUCACACACAGCCUGUGGGGAGCUCCAUGCAAGGAAUCUGGAACCUUCGGUGGCUCGUCUGCAAUCUUGGUGCAAGCUUCCAUGAUACAUAACUUGCAUUUUGCAGGGUCAGAAAACCAAUACUACAUAGAAAGCACCAAGUGCUGAUGUCCUUUGCAGAGGUAGCCUGGCACUCUUCCUGCCAUGGCUGCAGCAGCUUCCAUGUAAUCUCCGAAUAGGGAACCCUGCAGAGGCUCUCUCACUUCAGCCCCCUCUGCUUUCUAAAGGGCUUUCAGGUUUAUAUAUUGAGCCUUAGACCAGUGGGGCUUUACCCUCCCAGCAGUCGGGUGCAGUUUGAGGAUUCUCUCUAUUGUCACUCAUCUGACAACUAGAGCAGCUUUUCCCAGACCCCUCUGCAAGUUUAAGCUCUUUUGUGCUUCUUUGUUGAAUAACUGUAGAUUUAUCAUCUCUCUGCUUUCUUACUGUAAAGUAAAUCUGGAUAGUGUAAAUCCUACAACCUGUGUGCAAUGCUGUCCCGAAACUUCCUCCGCAGAUCAAUUUAUUCUAAAUUCAACUUCACUCAUUAUCAGGACAUGGGCGAAUAGUUCAGUUCCAGAUUGGGCCUCAGCAGCAUCUCUCUCGGUGGUGUUUUUAUGAGCUCCUGCUAAAACGGCCCAGUAAGUCUACUUACAACAUCCAGGAUGUUCCCGCAACUCUAAAACUCUUAACAUCUUUCUCCUGCAAAUUAGUCCCAAAGUUUGCAAAACACAUGAUCGGUUUUGUCUUAGCACCAACCCUACUCCAUUACUCCAUAUUACCCUCAGUGAUAGCUUUUUUUAAAGAUGUAUUUUUAUUAUGUGUAUUGUGUGGUCAUGUGCAGGUGUGUGCAGAUGCCCGUGGCACCCCCCCCCCCCAGUGUCUGAUCCCAUCGGAACUGUAGUUAUAGGUAGCUAUGGAUGCUAAGAACCAAACUAGGGUUCUCUAGAAAAACAGUACUUUUCUCCAGCCCCAUGUUUUCUGUAUAAGUUAAUUUU